rnacentral:rRNA from 1 species
GAUGAACGCUGGCGGCGUGCCUAAUACAUGCAAGUCGAGCGAACGGACGAGAAGCUUGCUUCUCUGAUGUUAGCGGCGGACGGGUGAGUAACGCGUGGAUAACCUACCUAUAAGACUGGGAUAACUUCGGGAAACCGGAGCUAAUACCGGAUAAUAUUUUGAACCGCAUGGUUCAAAAGUGAAAGACGGUCUUGCUGUCACUUAUAGAUGGAUCCGCGCUGCAUUAGCUAGUUGGUAAGGUAACGGCUUACCAAGGCAACGAUGCAUAGCCGACCUGAGAGGGUGAUCGGCCACACUGGAACUGAGACACGGUCCAGACUCCUACGGGAGGCAGCAGUAGGGAAUCUUCCGCAAUGGGCGAAAGCCUGACGGAGCAACGCUGCGUGAGUGAUGAAGGUCUUCGGAUCGUAAAACUCUGUUAUUAGGGAAGAACAUAUGUGUAAGUAACUGUGCACAUCUUGACGGUACCUAAUCAGAAAGCCACGGCUAACUACGUG